UACGUAGGGGGCAAGCGUUGUCCGGAUUUAUUGGGCGUAAAGAGCGUGUAGGCGGUCAGGUAGGUCCGUUGUGAAAACUCGAGGCUCAACCUCGAGACGCCGAUGGAAACCAUCUGACUAGAGUCCGGAAGAGGAGAGUGGAAUUCCUGGUGUAGCGGUGAAAUGCGUAGAUAUGCGGAGGAACACCGAUGGCGAAGGCAAUCCCCUGGACCUGUACUGACGCUCAUGCACGAAAGCGUGGGGAGCAAACAGG
rnacentral:rRNA from 1 species